rnacentral:rRNA from 1 species
CCUGGCGGCAGUAGCGCGGUGGUCCCACCUGACCCCAUGCCGAACUCAGAAGUGAAACGCCGUAGCGCCGAUGGUAGUGUGGGGUCUCCCC